rnacentral:tRNA from 1 species
GGGCUUGUGGUCUAGUGGUAUGAUUUUCCCUUAGCAUAGCGAUUGCAUCUUCUGCAUAUUGUCUAUCGACGAUGGGAGAGGUCCGGGGUUCAAUUCCCCGCGAGUCCA